AUACCUAUACGUUGCCUCGGCGGAUCAGCCCGCGCCCCGUAAAACGGGACGGCCCGCCCGAGGACCCUAAACUCUGUUUUUAGUGGAACUUCUGAGUAAAACAAACAAAUAAAUCAAAACUUUCAACAACGGAUCUCUUGGUUCUGGCAUCGAUGAAGAACGCAGCAAAAUGCGAUAAGUAAUGUGAAUUGCAGAAUUCAGUGAAUCAUCGAAUCUUUGAACGCACAUUGCGCCCGCCAGUAUUCUGGCGGGCAUGCCUGUUCGAGCGUCAUUUCAACCCUCAAGCUCAGCUUGGUGUUGGGACUCGCGGUAACCCGCGUUCCCCAAAUCGAUUGGCGGUCACGUCGAGCUUCCAUAGCGUAGUAAUCAUACACCUCGUUACNGNNNNUCGUCGCGGCCACGCCGUAAAACCCCAACUUCUGAAUGUUGACCUCGGAUCAGGUAGGAAUACCCGCUGAACUUAAGCAUAUCAAUAAGCGGAGG
rnacentral:rRNA from 1 species